GGAACGUUACAUGAUUUGUAAAUGUUAGUCUUUGUUUGUGUGCGGGUUAGGAACGCGCGGAAUGAACUGAACGAAGGGUUUCGAUCGAUGCAGCGGCGUGAGCGCAGCGCCGGAUUGACAUUAGCUCCCUGGUCGCUUCUAGACUGGUGCGUGCGCUGACCUCCUACCAAAUUCCGUCGUGGCAAGCGCCCUAGCAGACACGGCCGUUUAAUUUUGAAAAUUAAUUUUAUUAAAUCAAGUGAUUCAGUUUAUUUGUUGUGUGGAAAUCCCGAAUUAGGGUUUUUCCACCCGGCUAUAAGACGCCAGCAGCAGCAGCCUCGUGUUCGGUUUGUUACGAGCCGAGGUGUCGCCGUCGCGAUAGCUUCGUGCAGCACCGCGUGCACGUCAGCACCGUCUCCAUCCCUGUGACGUCACCGUACAGCACUGCAGUACAUCUCGGCCUACUUCCAUCUCCGGCCAGCGGCGUGUUUUCGCCGCCACUACAGGGGAGUACCUAUCCCUGCAGAAGUGACUUCAGACAAAGUUAUACUCACGACCCACAAAUCAAAUCUUUGUGUGCCUCCGGCUGUGGUUCUUUUUUUCCAUUAUACAUUUUUUUAAAAGGUA
rnacentral:lncRNA from 1 species